rnacentral:misc_RNA from 1 species
UUUCCGUAGGUGAACCUGCGGAAGGAUCAUUAUUGGAUUUUGAAACUUCAGGCUGCUGCUGGCUCUCCUCGGAGGACAUGUGCACGCUUGUUGUCCAUUAUUUCUCCCACUGUGCACAAAUUGUAGACCUUUCAGUAGGCCUAUGUUGUUUUUCACAAUCUCUGAAUGUAAUAGAAUGGUUUUGAAUCUUGGGAAAUACAAUACAACUUUCAGCAACGGAUCUCUUGGCUCUC